rnacentral:rRNA from 1 species
GACGGGGCCCGCACAAGCGGUGGAGCAUGUGGGUUUUAAUUUCGAUGUCAAACGCGAAGAACCUUACCAGGUCUUGACAUACCAUUGACAGGCGCAGAGAUGUGCUCUCCUUCGGGCAAUGGAUACAGGUGGUGCAUGGUUGUCGUCAGCUCGUGCCGUGAGGUGUUGGGUUAAGUCCCGCAACGAGCGCAACCCUCAUUGUUAGUUACUACCAUUCAGUUGAGGACUCUAAUGAGACUGCCAACGAUAAGUUGGAGGAAGGUGGGGAUGACGUCAAAUCAUCAUGCCCUUUAUGACCUGGGCUACAAACGUACUACAAUGGCCAAUACAAAGAGAUGCGAAGCGGUGACGUGGAGCGAACCUCAGAAAGUUGGUCUCAGUUCAGAUUGAAGUCUGCAACUCGACUUCAUGAAGGCGGAAUCGCUAGUAAUCGCGGGUCAGCAGACCGCGGUGAAUACGUUCCCGGGUUUU